rfam:Triticum aestivum genome assembly, contig: Triticum_aestivum_CS42_TGACv1_scaffold_129518_2BL
AUAGUACUCCCUUCGUCCGGAAAUACUUGUCAUCAAAAUGGAUAAAAGGGGAUGCAUCUAGACGUAUUUUAGUUCUAGAUACAUCUCCUUUUAUCCAUGUUGAUACAUCUCCUUUUAUCCAUGUUGAUGACAAGUAUUUUCGGACGGAGGAAGUACAAG